CCGUGUGGUACUUCUUUGCUCUAGUAGUUUUUUAUUCCAAAAUAAAUCAUUGUAAAGUUUCAACCCAUUUGGAGGUGUGAAAAAUAGGUAUAUCCGGCAUAGCUUUUUCAGGUGCAGAAUUCCAUCUGCUGGCAUUCUCCCUCUUGAUGUAAAUCUUGCAUAUUAUGAGAGAAAAGGCAUUAGAAUUACUCCACAAAGUGGAAAAAUGCAUAAAAACAC
rnacentral:lncRNA from 1 species